rnacentral:misc_RNA from 1 species
GCUGGAGGCAAAAUCCCAGAGGAACAUCUUUGGCAUCACUUGAGGCGGAUGGGAUUACAUGAAACUGAUGAAAGCCAUCCUGUCCUUGGAAACAUCAAGCAGGCGUUGGAGACGCUUGUCCAGCAAAGAUAUUUGCAGAAAGACAAAGUUAAUGGCCCUGAAGGUAAUACUUUGGUUUAUGAGCUUGCUGAGAGAGCUUUAGAUGGCCCAGUUUGUGACAGCAUUAAAGAG